rnacentral:rRNA from 1 species
AUGCCGCGUGCAGGANGACUGCCCUAUGGGUUGUAAACNNNNUUUUAUANNNGGAAGAAACACUGCUACGUGUAGCAGCUUGACGGUACUGUAAGAAUAAGGAUCGGCUAACUCCGUGCCAGCAGCCGCGGUAAUACGGAGGAUCCAAGCGUUAUCCGGAAUCAUUGGGUUUAAAGGGUCCGUAGGUGGAUAAUUAAGUCAGAGGUGAAAUCCUGCAGCUCAACUGUAGAAUUGCCUUUGAUACUGGUUAUCUUGAGUUAUUAUGAAGUAGUUAGAAUAUGUAGUGUAGCGGUGAAAUGCAUAGAUAUUACAUAGAAUACCAAUUGCGAAGGCAGAUUACUAAUAAUAUACUGACACUGAUGGACGAAAGCGUGGGGAGCGAACAGGAUUAGAUACCCUGGUAGUCCACUGNNGCCUCCCGUAGG